rnacentral:rRNA from 1 species
AUUAAUAAUUACAACUUUUAACAACGGAUCUCUUGGUUCUGGCAUCGAUGAAGAACGCAGCGAAAUGCGAUAAGUAGUGUGAAUUGCAGAAUUCAGUGAAUCAUCGAAUCUUUGAACGCACAUUGCGCCCUUUGGUAUUCCAAAGGGCAUGCCUGUUCGAGCGUCAUUUGUACCCUCAAGCUUUGCUUGGUGUUGGGCGUCUUGUCUCCAGUUCGCUGGAGACUCGCCUUAAAGUAAUUGGCAGCCGGCCUACUGGUUUCGGAGCGCAGCACAAGUCGCGCUCUCUUCCAGCCAAGGUCAGCAUCCACAAAGCCUUUUUUCAACUUUUGACCUCGGAUCAGGUAGGGAUACCCGCUGAACUUAAGCAUAUCAAUAAGCCGGAGGAAGGUUUUGGCACCCCCCCCUAAG